UCGAGUGGUACUCGGCAAUUCCCGCAAAACACACGGGAGGCGGGCGCACGGUGACGAUCGACUCUCUGUCGUGAACCUGUGCCCGCCUUUGCACGCCCCAGCGGGGGGUUAAGGUCCUCGCAUCCGCGUCGCCAACAGUUCUAGCGAACAAGCGCCGAGAGGUGCUACGGCUCACCAGAAACAUCCCGCACUUUGAUGGGACGCUCCAGGUUCUCUGGGGGGUCCCUGCGGUUGGAAGAGGGCCGGGACGCGAAAUGCUUUGAGUGCAAUCUGCCGAGCAGUGCGGGCAGGGAGGGUUCGCCUUCCUCGUUCGCGUUGUGACUCGAUGAGGACUAUACACCGCUCGA
rnacentral:ncRNA from 2 species